UGUAAUUUUCAUGAAGUCUAGUUUGUCUGUUUUUAAAAUUUUGUUGCCUGUGUUUUUGGUGUUAUAUUCGAGAAAUCAUUGCCAAAUGCAACGUUGUGAAGUUUUUAUCUUAUCUUUUCUUCUAAGAGUUUCAUACUUUUAGGUUUUACAUUUAAGUCUUUGAUCCAUUUUAACUUUGUAUAUGGUAUUAGAUAAGGAUCCAAUUUUCUUCUUUGUAAUGUUGAUGUUUAGUUUUCCCAAUGCCAUGUGUUUAAAAAUGACAUUUUCCCUAUUAUAUGGUCUUAGCACUCUUGUUGAAAAUCAUUUUACCAUAUAUGUAAGUAUAUAUUUUGGGCUUUGUGUUCUGUUUCAUUUGUCUAUAUGUCUGUCUUUAUGCCAGUGUCACACAGUAUUGAUUAUUAUAACUGUAGGAGGUUUUGAAAUAAGGAAGUGUGAAUCUUCCAGCUUUGUUUUUUGGUGGUUUUGUUUUGUUUUUUGUUUUUUGUUUUUUUUCAAGAUUGUUGUAGUUAUUUGGGGUUCCUUGAAAUUCCUUAUGAAUUUUAGAAUAGAUACUUCUAUUUCUGCAAAAACUCAUUGUGAUUUUUAUGGGAAUUGCAUAAAUCUGUAGAUUGCUUUGGAUAGUAUUGACAUCUUAACGAUAUUGUCUUCCAAGCCAUGAAUGUGGAUUGUGUCUCCAUUUACUCAUGUCUUCUUUAUAGUGUUCAUUAUACAAGUCUUUCAUCUUCUUGGUCAAAUUAAUUCCUAAAUAUUUUAUUUUAUUUUUGGGAAACCCUGUGAUGAGGGGUGAACCAGGACUAGAGAUCAGAUUCCCAACUAUUCGUUCCCACACCUUGACUGUUGCUUAGCUCAGUUGAUUCACUAGAUUCCAGUCACUAGCCACAAGUUUCUGUCAGAUGGGUCAAUUUUAAAUUACAGGCAAAAAGCAGAAAAGAAAAUGGGAUAACUACUUUGUAGCAAGCGGGAUUUUAUUCAUAGUUAGAUUUAUCUUUUCUUUGUAUUUGCUUCUGUCUGUGAAUUCUGUUUCAGUGGAAAGGAGGUGUAUUAAGUUUUGACCUAGUGUCAGUAUCUGAGUAAUUGACCUAAUGAGAUUUGGAUUUGGCUGGGAGAUUAGCUGCUGCACUAAAUAUGAUGAACAAAUAAAGGCAACUUUUCUCCUCCUGAAAUUUCUAAAAACAAUUUCCUCGCUCAAUUUUUUUUUUUUUUUUUUUUUUUUGGUUUUCAUGUUUCAUUCACCAUGUGAAAGGCUGUGACUCCAGUGUUAUGAGGAACCCCUUGUCCGAAGCAGUUGUUGCUCAUGGAACAGGCAGAUCUCUAUACAGGAGCACUCAUUUCUAGAGAGCAGCCUUGUCAUUGCUGUGAAGGAAAAUCCUAAUGCUCAAACCAGGAGCUACUUAGGCUUUCCCAGAAUGGCCCUUUCUUAGAUUUUGUAAUUAAAUUGAAGAGGUAGAUACUCUGUCCUUAAACUAGGAAAUCACAUCCUCUGAAUUCUGUCUAACUUAAUUGAGUCCUGCUGUGUUACUAAUCCACGUUAAUAUGGUCUUUUUCCUUUAACAUAGUUUCCCUGGAUGCUGAACAUGGAGCCUUACGGUUUCUAGAAUGGCUUGGCAGAAUUUCUCUUUGGGAAUUGGUGAAGAUGGGUGAAGUAUAGAUCCAGGAAGGGGAAGGGUCCCCACAAAAAAAAAAAGUGCCCUCAUAGAAGACUGUGCACUUCGUGUCCUCAUAUACAAUGGGCAACGCACACAGGCCCCUGCUAUUCUUUUAUGAGGGACAGGUUAGGAGGGUCUCUGCAGGUGGUGCUUGCUCACUGGCCACCAGCCUCUCCCCUGCUCUCUCUGCCUCCCUUAUCAUCCACACUCACCUUCAUGGUGCAGGACACGUUGACUUUGUUCUUUGACCUCAUUUCAUUCUGAAUUUUUAAAGCUUAAUGUAGCUGGCUUUAUCCCUUCAAUUUGAAAAAUUAUUUUAGAAAUUGAAAUAAUUAUUGCCACAUUUUUCUUAGAUGUUUAAGAAUGUGGUUACCUGCUUUAUUUGUAGACAUUGUAUAGAGAUAAAUGCUGGGGAUGAGGGUGUUUGUUUCUAACCUUAAUGUGUUUGUCUGAUCUCUGAGUUCUAGGGGUUGUGGAAAAGGAAAGUGGUAUAAAGUAAAGGACACAGUGACAGAAGAAUUCGACCUAAAUAAUGAGAUUCCGGAGUGUGAAUGCUUUGGUGAAGAAUAUAAACCAAAAUUUUAUGAUCAAGGAAGGUCUGAUGAGAACGCCGGGGGUCACCAAAGAAGACUCGAGUUAGCUGUGUACAGCAGGAAGCUGAGGACUUCUCACUUCAGCUCCAUCUUCAGCAAUUUUUGUGUCAGUCGUCUCCUUGGUCCCAUGGGCCUGAUAAUGCCUGGAUGUCUGUUCUAACCCAGCUGAUUUUAAAAGGCAAGAAGAAAUGACUAUUUGGAGAAAAUGCCUGUUGGAAUAUACUAGGUAAGAAUCCUGUGAAAAAUUCUAAAGGGGAGAAUUCAGGUAGAUGUCAGAGUGUAUCUGGUAGAUCUAGAGGUACUCCCGCUGGUCUUUUUCUGGAUUCGUUGUAGGCUGCAGAGAUAGGUGUAGAGCUAGUGCUAAGGACACAGAUGCGAAUCCACACCAAGAUUGGCCAGCACCAUCACUGAGCCGCUGUGUGAUGUGAGAUGACACCAAUAAACAGAGGCAUGGGGACUAGGCAGUAAGGAAGUACAUUGGUGAAACUAACUUAUCUGGUGAGAAGAACAAUUGAACCCUCAUAAUCAUUGGGUAAAGACUAACAGGGUGAUGAUAGACAUUAUUUAUUGUAUACCUCCUCUGAGCCACAUGCUUUAAGCAAAUCUUCAAUUCUGAAAAGACUCGUGGAGUGGUGGGUUGUUAUUUCCAUUUUUCGGAUGGAAAAACUGCAGUUCAGAAAAGAAGUGAACAGCCCGUGUCAUAGAGCAUGCAUUUAAAUUCAGAACUAA